AUUGAACGCUGGCGGCAUGCCUUACACAUGCAAGUCGAACGGCAGCACGGGAGCAAUCCUGGUGGCGAGUGGCGAACGGGUGAGUAAUAUAUCGGAACGUGCCCAGUCGGGGGGGAUAACGCAGCGAAAGCUGUGCUAAUACGGCAUACGAUCUACGGAUGAAAGCGGGGGAUCGCAAGACCUCGUGCGAUUGGAGCGGCGGAUAGCGGAUUAGCUAGUUGGUGGGGUAAAGGCCCACCAAGGCGACGAUCUGUAGCUGGUCUGAGAGGACGACCAGCCAACCUGAAACUGAGACACGGUCCAGACUCCUACGGGAGGCAGCAGUGGGGAAUUUUGGACAAUGGGCGCAAGCCUGAUCCAGCAAUGCCGCGUGCAGGAUGAAGGCCUUCGGGUUGUAAACUGCUUUUGUACGGAACGAAACGGCCCUUUCUAAUACAGGGGGCUAAUGACGGUACCGUAAGAAUAAGCACCGGCUAACUACGUGCCAGCAGCCGCAGUAA
rnacentral:rRNA from 1 species